GAGGGCUAUUACAGACCUUGCAGUGUCCUGGGAUUUGCCUGGUGUGACAUCAGAGAACAGAAGAUGGCUGCUUGACAAACUGCUCAUUCAUGCAGUCCUUGAAAGAACCUCCAAGCAAGUAAAGCAGCUACGGCGGGGUUUGAAGAAAAACAUUGAUCUGGCCUUUGGUGUCUGAGAGGAAAGACACUAUUCCUCUUCUCUUUCCUAGGACUUGUGAUACAGUGUACACCCCACUAAUGAAUUUAGAGAGGAUAAUUUGGCCAACACAUGAUGAAGACAGUGAGGCCUCUCUUGAAGACACAUGUAGGCUCACCGGAUUCCUUCGCACCUUCAUCGGAAAUUCUUCUUAUAAUAUCUUGCGUUUUCUAAUAAAAUUCUGGACUGGAUGGGAUGUGCUGCCCAGGAGCCUAGAUGUUGAGGUGGUGGAUGGAAACCUACCCAGUCAACGGGUACUAAACUACCAUUUGUCAAGA